rnacentral:rRNA from 1 species
AGAGCGAACGCUGGCGGCAGGCCUAACACAUGCAAGUCGAACGGACCCUUCGGGGUUAGUGGCGGACGGGUGAGUAACACGUGGGAACGUGCCUUUAGGUUCGGAAUAGCUCCUGGAAACGGGUGGUAAUGCCGAAUGUGCCCUUCGGGGGGAAAGAUUUAUCGCCUUUAGAGCGGCCCGCGUCUGAUUAGCUUGUUGGUGAGGUAAUGGCUCACCAAGGCUACGAUCAGUAGCUGGUCUGAGAGGAUGACCAGCCACAUUGGGACUGAGACACGGCCCAAACUCCUACGGGAGGCAGCAGUGGGGAAUCUUGCGCAAUGGGCGAAAGCCUGACGCAGCCAUGCCGCGUGUAUGAUGAAGGUCUUAGGAUUGUAAAAUACUUUCACCGGUGAAGAUAAUGACUGUAGCCGGAAGAAGAAGCCCCGGCUAACUUCGUGCCAGCAGCCG